AGGAGACCCCGUCAUCUUCAACUGCAACAUAUCGGCGGGAAACGUAACACAAAUUAACUGGACCAAAGGCAAAUUUUUUUUUGCCCUUAGGAUCUCAGUAAAAUCCACUUUUUCAAAUUUCACCUACCACAACGUGACAAUAGACCCUUGCUGUCUUUCAAACCUGAGUAUUUUGAAUGCUCACCAUGAAGACACAGGACUUUACAAAUGUGAGUUAACCUACAAACAUGGUAUAACGACUACUACAUGGAAUUUAACUGUGCUUGAGAAACAUAAAGAAAACACCCUACCUCUUCAGCUUUGGAUUUUAAUUUCCAUACUUGCACCUGUGAUUGGAUUGUUUCUGUGUGGCAUCACUGCCGCUGUCACAUGCUACGGAAGAAGCAAAUGCUUGGCCACAACGUCAAAAAAGAAACUCGACUUUGACAGCAGGACCCACAGUUGUGCCCAGUUUCAUGUUCAGUCAGGAGGAGAGUCUCUAGAGGUGACAACCCCUCAACACCAAAGUUGUGCAGAAUACAAUCGAAGCACAAGAUGCAGUCAGAAUUGGAGCCUCUACUACGCCGAUGUUCAGGUUAAGGCUGAAUAAAUAUUACAAGAGAUCAUGUGUAGAAAGUACAAGAGAGAUGAUGAUGGUGAUGAUUCAAAAUAAAUGAAUCCAGCAAAGAGAAUGAAAGUUUGUUUUACUAAAACAGAACAUUAAGUGUUUUUGUUCAAAAGCUUGUUGUGACACAAAACCAGUGAUUGUGAUUAUUGUGAGAAACUGUGAUUGAGAUAUGCUUUGUGAUAUCGGAGAGGGAUGGUCAUGUUUACAUCUUUAUGCUCAUUUUCAUUCUGAAAAACAUAUUUAAAAUGAUUACUGUGUGAUAUUUGUGAGAAACAAAGAUAUUCUCUUCAGUCUGUGGAAUAAGACAUGUACAGAUCAAGACAAUAAUUCAUCUAAAAUGAUAUUUUGACACAUAUUGAGGCUUUAAAGUAACAUUUUUACUUCAAUUACUGUUUAAGAGUCAAAGCUUCAAGUAAAACUUGAUUUCUAUAAUUCACCAUAGUUUACUUUAAAUUUGAAGUGUACAGAAGUCAUAAUUAUGUGCCCUUUAUAAUGAAUGACUGUAAGAUAUUGACAUUGAAGGUCAAAUUGUUUUCUGCUUCUCAUGCCCAUGUUUGACUUGAAGUUGUGAUUGUUUGAUAUUUGAUCAAGAAUGCUGAUUUUGUUUUUUCUCAUUUCUGUGUUUUACACAUAGACCAUAUAAAGAGCAAAAAGAAUCUUUUUAAAUAGUGACACUGCUGGUUGUGAAAAGAAUUUGAUUUAUAACAUCAGUAAACAUUUUCCUAAAGCUUUAAUGGUUUCACUCACUAGGUUCAGGUGUUUCUUCAAUAGAACAUGACGUCAUUUUGUUAUUGUUUGACACACAUGAGUGGACACCAGUGUGAUUGACAGUUGUAUGGUCCAUGAGGUGCCUGGCUGCAGGUGAUGUCUGUGAAUAUGCUGUAGCAAAGGCUCAAAUCAAGGGUUCAAAACAAGAGUUCAAGUUUUUAUGGGUGAUAUCGUGACUAGGUGUUCCUUGAUUUUGCACCUGUUCUUUCAUGUUAACAUGUCUGCAAAGAGGCUUAUGUAUGUAGUUGUGUAAGACGCCAGCAGAUGGAGGCAAAGACUGUUAUAAAUGCUGAAAGUAUAGCACAAAGGAUGAUUUGUGAAAUGAUUUUAAGGUUGUGUUGUGACAAAUGUUUUUGAUGGAAAUCCUCAAUGCCUGGGUGACUACAAAACCCUUUAAUUUGUGUAUUUUUUUUGCAUGAGGCCAAUAACUAUUAGUAAUCUGGUUGCGUUCAAAUGUCUUAUUUCUCAUUAAAUGUAUCUGUGGUGUA